rnacentral:rRNA from 9 species
AAUCCAUAGGUUAAUGAGGCGAACCGGGGGAACUGAAACAUCUAAGUACCCCGAGGAAAAGAAAUCAACCGAGAUUCCCCCAGUAGCGGCGAGCGAACGGGGAGGAGCCCAGAGCCUGAAUCAGCAUGUGUGUUAGUGGAAGCGUCUGGAAAGGCGCGCGAUACAGGGUGACAGCCCCGUACACAAAAGCGCAUGUGCUGUGAGCUCGAUGAGUAGGGCGGGACACGUGGUAUCCUGUCUGAAUAUGGGGGGACCAUCCUCCAAGGCUAAAUACUCCUGACUGACCGAUAGUGAACCAGUACCGUGAGGGAAAGGCGAAAAGAACCCCGGCGAGGGGAGUGAAAAAGAACCUGAAACCGUGUACGUACAAGCAGUGGGAGCACAGGUUUACCUGUGUGACUGCGUACCUUUUGUAUAAUGGGUCAGCGACUUAUAUUCUGUAGCAAGGUUAACCGAAUAGGGGAGC